rnacentral:rRNA from 1 species
GGAUGGGUCGUGAGAGGCGGCGGAAGCCGUCCCUUACUGACGGGCCCGCGGCGCAUUAGCUAUUUGGUGAGGGAAGGGCUCACCAAGGCGACGAUCGUUAGCCGGCUUGAGAGGGUGAACGGCCACACUGGGACUGAGACCCGGCCCAGACUCCUACGGGAGGCAGCAGUAGGGAAUCUUCCGCAAUGGACGGAAGUCUGACGGAGCAACGCCGCGUGAGUGAGGAAGGCCUUCGGGUCGUAAAGCUCUGUUGUUCGUGAAGAAGGGGUUGGCCAGGAAAUGGGCCGACAUUGACGGUAGCGAACCAGAAAGCCCCGGCUAACUACGUGCCAGCAGCCGCGGUAACACGUAGGGGGCAAGCGUUGUCCGGAAUGAUUGGGCGUAAAGGGCGCGCAGGCGGCCUCUUAAGUCUGAUGUGAAAGCCCACGGCUCAACCGUGGAGGGACAUUGGAAACUGGGGGGCUUGAGUGCAGGAGAGGGGAGUGGAAUUCCACGUGUAGCGGUGAAAUGCGUAGAGAUGUGGAGGAACACCAGUGGCGAAGGAGGCUCUCUGGCCUGUGACUGACGCUGAGGCGCGAAAGCGUGGGGAGCGAACAGGAUUAGAUACCCUGGUAGUCCACGCC